CGGAGCAGUCGGAGUGUGAACAUGUCUCCAGGGAGGAAAUAAAGCUUUGUGUGGUAGGUGCCGGAUGAUUUGCAACAGGGAAACACUUUCUCUCUGUCGCUCUGCACUCGCAAAAUCUGAUGCCACUUGAAUGGGCCGCCGUGCAGCGAGAGGAACAGACACAGGGAAACCUCCCUCUUCAGACAACACCUUCAACCUACAUCUGCAUCCAAUUUGCAGCACGAGGCUCACCAGUCCACGUGAAUCAAUAUCAAAGAUCUCUCUCUCAAGCACAAUGCGCUGUCGAUAAAAUCAGAGGACUGCACUCAGAAACUGAUUUCAUUUGGUGACAUAGAUGUUUGUACCCAGUCUCUAGCACCAUAUGAAAUCAGUGUUCUGGGAGGUGGAUCAUCAGCAUGUACAGACGCUGUACAUUCAUGAACUGAAAUAUGAGAUGUUUUUAUAAUGUUACAAAGUAGGUCACAUUUGUAUAAGUUACUGUUGAUUCACUAACUGGUCACAGAUGCUUUCCUGCUUCUUGUUAAUUAUGUUUCCCCCUGUGUGUCUGACUCAAACUUACUGUAUUCAUGAAUUCACUUUCAUUGAUAAAUUCUGAAACCAUUGGCUUUGUUUAAAGACAAAGGACGGAGUAUGAUUUUCCUGGGGGGGACAACUGUGUAUAGGUUCAUACAACAAUAAUUCCUCUCAAUGAUCACUAACUGUCCUCUUGACUGUGAUUUCUCUUUUCAUUUUCUAUAAAAACACAGAAACCAGGUACGAGUGCAUUUCUUCCAUCAGAUGGAAACAUAGAGGCUGUUUUCACAUGCACAGCUGAGGUCAAUCUCUUCGUUGCUGAAGGAAGGCAGAGUGCAAAUACUCCUCCAUGACAUGUAAAUGAAUACGGCUGGAAGUGACUCAGAAAGAAACAGACAUUGUAGCCUGGUUGGCACCUACCUUCAUGGUUUCCGUCACAUUAUAAUGUAUUAGGAAAAUGCACUGUUUAGAAUGUAUCACAUAAAUAAGUGACUGCUACUUUAUAUAGUUUUGAGGCAAUCAAAUGUUCCUUAAUAUUUUUUAUGGAAUACUGUAAUUAACCUGCAAUAAAAUACACAAUAAAUAAAACUCACAAUAAAUAUUUA